rnacentral:rRNA from 1 species
AUGGCGUUCAACAACUAUCUCACAUGGUUUAUUGGAAGUACCCGUGUGGAGGUAUGCAAGCCGGUGUAUGCUGAGGAGAUUUUGGAAGAUCCCACCGUUUUCGAUCAGCUAACCCAACACGAGUACAACGCAUUAGUCAGGAAAGGCCACUCAAUCCCUUCAGCUCCAAUGAUGAACUUUGUGCGUGCCCAGAUCAAGAAAGCAGCUGAUGAGACCGAGACUAUUCUGGAGACAACCCCGGUUGGGAAAAGCGAUGGGGAAGGUGCACUUCGAGCAUUCAUUAAGCGCCAGGGCCAAAAGUUAAGGCGGAUAUCAAACCUUUUCGGUUGUCGUGACCCCGAGUAUGUAUCACUUGAAUGGUCUAGGUCGGCGACACCAUCAGAUCCCACUUCUGGCCAUGGUGAUCCUUUGGAUGAUGAGGAUGUGGAUGUGGUCACCCAAAAGGUUCCUGAUGAUAUGACCUUGGGGACCUACAAGGUUCGGUCUGCAUACGAGUUAAAGCCUAGGAAGGGAAUCAAAAAAUACACACCUGAAGACUUCACCCAAAGAGGCAAAAGGACGGUCGGCACCUCGCGGAUGGCGGCUUUGGAUGACUAUGUGGAUGACGUGGAGGAAUCAGAGCCGGAGUCGGAGCGGGUUCCUCUUCCUAGGAAGGUGAAGAAGAUGGCCAACAGGAGGGGGGAGGAUCCAAAAAGCGCUCAAGGAACUAGUCGUCAUCCUCUAUUUGUAAUGUUGAACUUGGAGUGGUGGUAG